CGUACCGCGCUGCGCUUGGGAAAGAAAAACAGCGAGGGCGCACCGCACCACGCGAGGGCUUUCUCCUCCAUCCCCGUUCCCUCGUCUCAACCGGCCGCCACUCCAUCUCCAUCCCCUCCCCUCUCUCGCCGCCGCCCCGCUCCCGCUCCCGCUCUCCCUCCCCGCCGCCCGCUUCGCCUACUCCGGAGCCCUGCUGUCGUAAUCCCACCAUCCGGCUUGUGGCGAAGAGGACAGCCGCCGCCUCUUCCCUGCCUCCCCAUCUCGCCCGAAACAUCGCUCCUGGAGCCCUUCCCAGUCCACGGUGGAGCCCCCAUCCCAGCUCCGCAUCCGAGAUCCGCGACAAGGGAGGGGUGGAUCGAUGAUGUUGCAGCAAAGAGGAACGAGGUUGGGCAGUGGUGACGGAGCGGGAUAGGUGACGAGGAUGACCUGUGACUCCUCAUGGCAAAGAGGGAGGCAUGGCGCCUCAGCUCCGCCACCGACGACAGCCUCGACGGCUGCAGCAUGCGCAGUGCCGACAGGGUCAAGGUGCGGCAGUAUGGGAAGACGUGCAAGAAGCUCACUGGCAUGUUCAUGACACAGGAGUUGGCCACGCACUCUGGCUCUGUAUGGUGCAUUAACUUCAGCUUGGCUGGACGGUACCUUGCGAGCGCCGGCGAGGACCGUGUGAUCCAUGUCUGGGAGGUCUCCGAGGGUGAGAGAAAGGGGGAGCUGCUCGGGGAAGGUGCGGUUUCAAAGGAGAGUGGUGGCGGAGGCAGCCCGUUUGUGGCAGUUGCUGGAAAUGGAUCGUGGUGGUGGCAAUGUCGCCGCUCAGCAGUGCAGACAAGGGAUAUGUGGAGAAGAAGAGGAGGCCACGGGUGCAGAGCAGCAGCAAGUCUGUCGGUUCUGAUCAUCUGGUUGUGCCCGAGACCCCGAGUGCGUGUUUGGGUUCAGAGAUAAGCCAUUUUGCUCGCCCCUGGGGCACGCCGCUGAUGUUCUUGAUUUAUCAUGGUCCAAAUCUCAGGCAGGCAUUUCAAUUUUCUGUCAUGCUUCUAGAUAUCAAACGUGGUUGAGAAAGUUCCAUUUUUAAAAGGGGCUGGAGCUCCAUGGCUUACAGAUCUAACGACCCCUGAUGCUCUUUGCAUAUUUCCCAUGAUAACAUCACUGUUCGUCAUGCUUCCCUUUGAGGAGCGGCAGGUGCAGAAGCGUGUGCGAGGAGCGCCGUCGGUCGACCGGCCGGCGUUCUUUCUUCGUCAGGAAGGGUGCAGCCUGCUACUCAAGCCCCUCUCCUUCGCUCCUUGAAGAGCAGGAGAGGCAUGGGCACCACCACACUGGAGAGAUGGACGAGGACAUGAAGCUUUCGUGGAGAGGACGAGGUGGCCGCCGCUGCACCCCCACGCCGCGGACGCCGAGAUUCCCAUCCUCUCUGCCCUUGAUAACCACUUCGGCGGCGCCAUGAACGACACCAAUCGCCUCUUCUCGGCAGGCGCAGACCGCAUGGUCGUCUUCCUCUCCGGCUUCUUCUACACCAUCAGACUCAGACCCUCUCCCGCUCCCUCUCCCUCUGCAUCUCUGUAAAAAUAUGCUUAGGUCAACUAGGUGCAAGCCAAGGCGCUCACACCGAUUUAAGAUGGUGUGGGUGAUCAAUAGAAGACAAAUGAAUACACUGAUGGAAGGCCAUGUCAAAGUACCUUUCUAUUUUGUAUUUUCUUUUUGUUUAGGAUCUACUAUAAUUUCCCAGAAAGUUUUUAUUCCAUAGAUGAUAUUUGGUUUUAUUCUACAUUUUUUUCCUUUGCAAAGAUAGAUAUUAUAAGAGAUAAAUAGCAUGUACAUGUUAACCUUAUAUAGCCUUUUUUAUGAGCGAUAAUCUAACACUUACAAGAUCAUCUUAGGAUUUCCUAAUGGAUACUGUACACAUUCCACCAAGGAUUAUUUUAGAUGCUAUGCUGAAAGACACUAUAGCUCCCAAAAUCUGUAUACUACACCCAGCCUACAGGAAACGUUGGUAUAGAGUAGAGACUGUGACUGGGUUUUAUCCAUUUCUGCAGCACUUGCCAGAGUGCACUGUCAAGAGAUUUGUUUUUCGGUCUGAGUCAUCUUGCUACUUUUUCAGGUUUAUUUACAUAUGAAAUCACCAUAAUUUUUGCCAUGGCUCUGGUUCUUGAUAUAGUGCUUAAAAGCACUAUCCCAUCCUGAUUAUUCCAAUACAGUUUUUUGUCUCACUGAAUAUCGUCUUCGAGAACUGGGCAAUCUUCGAGUCCAUGAAGAGCACUCGCACGGUCAAGCACCAUGAGAUCUUCAUCCGCAACGCCGAGUGCGUUGUGCUCUUCACAGACCUUGAAGAUGAGGCCAGAGAGAUCCGCCGCCUACUGGGUUCGAUCGGAUGCCAUCGAUUUCACCCACCGCCAAUGACGGCGAGGCUGGUGGCUCUGGCAUUGAGCGAUAUACUUCACCUCUCACGUGAAAUGACAGCUGUUAAACAAGAGGUAGACACAACCAGUGAUACCAGCCCGAUUACCCAUGACGAACCACUGUGUCAGAAGCACAAUAAGCCAUACGAGUAUAUCCAUCGCCCACGCUAAGCAAACUCAAUCCAAAAGUUCAAAGGCAAGAAAAUUCAUGUAAAGCCUAGAAAGUACAUUCUCCGUGGUGAGCCUUGCAUCCACUACUUAGAUGAGUUUAGUCACCACAUUGUGUGGGGCAACACAGUUAAGCUCUACAACCAUAAUGUUCGUACACUGUGAAAGAUCAUCUGCAGCACCACCACGCCUGAUAACUACUAUGUGUGCCACAUGACAGAAACAUUUGCAACAGAAGGCAAAAGAAUGUACUUUAGCGUUCCCUUUUAUACGGGUUCCCUUUUCCCACACAUGGAUGCUGACCAUGGUAAACUGCCAAUCACUAUUGGAGACGGAACUACGCUGUCACGACCCGCUUUAUCAAGGGUGUUGACAAAAGGGCCACCAUCACUAAAGGCUGGAGCGACUUCUUCCGUUAGGCACACAUGAACGAAGGGUGAGUAUAUGCUUUCGCCUUCAAAUGCACUUCUAAGGGACUCUGCCUGAUCGUCUACUCAAUAUAAGCAAGUUGCAAGAGCCCCUUGUUAUAUAACUUAGUAUUAGUACAGAUGCGUAUCAAGACUUCCGUGUUUAUCAUCCUUUUGGAUCUUACGUAAUCCCCUAAGACCAUCCUGUGCAUUUAGCUAUCGGUUAUUUGCCGCUUAGACUGCUAUGUGGUAUGCUUUUGAAACAACCUUGAUGGAAGAAAUAUAUGCUUUCACCUUUAAGUGCACAUCCAAAGGCCUCUGCAUGAUUGUCUAUCCAAUCUAAAUAGAUCAAAAGAGUCCUUUCCUACAUGACUUAUUGCAUCAUUUUCAAUCUUAUGUACUUACUGCGUAUAGAAUGAGCUAUUCUUUUCGAAUAACAAUAUGUUAAUGCAUGCUCUUACAAUAAUUAGCUUACACUCGGCCUUUGCGCCAUUAGCGCAACGGAUCAUCUAGUCUUAGUAAAGAUAGAACAAUUGGAGAAGCGAUCACCUUGGUGAACUCUUCGCUUAUAAGACUUACCCACCCAUAGAGUAGAAUCCCUACGCUAUGCAGCUAGAAAGAUUGGUCGACCCCAUUCUUCAUAUGCAGGCCUGGGAAGGAGCAAGGUAUCUCCUUUUCCAGAAAGAUGUGAACAAAUGGGUGCCAACUCAUCUGAUGUUUUACUUUCUAGUCCCAUUAUUUUGAAGGGAUAAGUAUAUUUUUCGUCCUCAAACUCUUCCAAGAGUUUAGAAAUCGUCCCUCAACUCCAAACCGGAUAGUCUUCGUCCCUCAACUAUCAAAACCGGAUAGUUUUCGUCCCUCGUGCCGCUUCGGCUGGUUUUAGUACGUGGUGAACAGUAACUCGGUGAACAGUAAAAUAUAAAAAAUAGCAAAAAAAAAUCUGAAAUUUUACAGCAUCGAAGAUACUCUGGUGCGCAAGACCCGUGCAAAAUUUCGUGGUGUUCCAACAUUCGAGCAGCUCACGGCAAACAAAAACUGUAAAUAUGUACAUCGGUGAACAGUAAAUUCAAAAAAUAGAAAAAAAUAAAAAAUUUAUGAAACUUUUUGGCAUCAAAGAUGCUCAGGUACGUAAGAUGCGUGCAAAAUUUCGUGAUCAAAUGACAUAUGAGGAGCUCUAGCCAAAAAAAAAAUAGCGCACUUUUUCAAAAAAUUAAAUUUGAGCCAAAUUUUGUUUUUUUGCCACGAGUUCGUACAAUGCCCAAACACCACGAAAAUUUGCACGCACGUUGCACACCCAAGCCUCUUUCAUGCCAAAAAAAAUUCAUACUGUUUUGAUUUUGUUUGCUAUUUUUUUGAAUUUACUAUUCACCGACGUAUAUAUUUGUAGUUUUUUGUUUGCCGUGAGCUGCUCGAAUGUCGAAACACCAUGAAAUUUUGCACGGGUCUUGCGCACCAGAGUAUCUUCGAUGCUGUAAAAUUUGCAGAUUUUUUAUAAUUUUUUUGCUAUUUUUUCCGAUUUUACUGUUCACCGCGUACUAAAACCGCCCGAAGCGGCACGAGGGACGAAAACUAUUCGGUUUUGAUAGUUGAGGGACGAAAACUAUCCGGUUUGGAGUUGAGGGACGAUUUCUAAACUCUCGGAAGAGUUCGAGGACGAAAAAUAUACUUAUCCCUAUUUUCAAAGAAACUGACGUUGUAAAUGGAAACCCCUGAACCACUUCUUACUUUUGGAUUUGGUGGGAGCCUGCCAAGUGGGAGACCCAGAAAGAAGCCAUCCCGGUGUGUAUCAUCAGUGGGUGUUAAGCUUGUCUGUGUAGAUAUUUAUUGUAUAAAAGGUGUUGCAUGUUUGAAUCACUCCUGACUAUAGCAUUUAAGAACCCUGUCUCUCGAUCUCAUCCUUAUGCAAGGGAGACUAUCUCUAGGACUUUGUUUGUGGUCGACAAGCUAUGUGUCUAUCUUAGACCAGAGCUGUCAGGAUACUACACCGGCUUUCAUAUGUAAGACAAUGUUGUACCAAAGUCAAAAACUGAUGUUAUUUAUCAAGUCUUUCGAACAUAGUUAGUCCCAUCCUUUUCAUCCGGCCACUAGACUAGUUUGGUCUCUUCAAGGAGAGAAGUCCUUUCUCGAGGAGUCCAAGUAUUGGAUAUAUUGGUGGAGUAGAUAGUAGGUAAAAAGUAACCACUACAUGGUAGAUAGCGUCCCUUCCUUACUUUUCUUAAUAAGCCCUUGAUCGAGUAGUUCAUCCGAAAGCAUUUGAUCCAUCAGAUCAAUGCUUGAUCUGCUACGGUUCAAGACCUAGGAACGGAAACAACUGGAUGAUACGCUUCUUUCUCUUAGUCAGCUUUAUCUCAUAUUGCCUACGAAGCCGUGGAUCCAAGCACUGCUAUAUUAAUUCUACUUGGCUGCCGCCCAUAGGGCCUAAGGGAAGACGUACGGAGGAAUGGUCUUUGGGCAUUUGUGACCAACACCCCAUUUAUCACCACACUCUUUUUUGGGCGCUGCUUCUCUGUCUGUAUCUUCAAUACACUAAGAAAAUUGAAAAUAAUAUUGUAGAGAUAAAAAAUAAACUAAGAAAAUUCCUCCUGAUCGUUUUUUUAGUCUAGUAUAAUUAUUAUUUUCGCAAAAAUGUUUGUCCAGCCAAAAAUGCUGACUAAUUUAAGUAAUUUGCAAACUACUGACAAAUACACCCAUACACUUGCUGUCAUAGCCAUGUGGUUAAUGGCUUUUACUGGCCAAAUGGAAUUGUGAAGUGGUUCUUAGCAAGGGAAACUUGGUUUCCAUGAUGUUUUACUGAGUUAGGGAAACCAAUAGAUACACAAAAUCAAUAUGGGGGCCUCACACCUAUGCACCUGCCACUUCUUCUCCCCUGCCUCGUAUGAAUUUGCACAGCAUCAAUCAAUGCUGAAAAUGCAGCUUAUCAGAAUUUCAGGGCUUUCAGUCGUUAUAACAGUACAAGCAGUCGAUCAAUGGUGAUCUGCCUGCUUUAUACAUAUGUGAAAGUAAGCACCAAUAGUCAAGCAUGUUAACACCUAUCCUUCGUCAUAUGCCUGUAACUUAUCUUCAGUACGUCUUUUCUGAAGAAAAGGAAAAACAUUUUCCUGAAAUGGUAUGUACUUGUUUUGAUUUUCUCCGAAUCACAAUUUGGCUUUAAGAAAAGUGGGCCUUUGUUACUGUACCAUAAAGUUAAGAAAAAGGGAGGAAAGAACGCACAAAAUAUUGAAAUCCUGAUGACCUUCUAAAAACAGUAUAGUUCAUCAGUUAUCCGAGCUUGUCAUAUACAGACUUUUUUCUAGUGAGAAAUAUGUUUUCCCUUAGUUUCCCAGUAGCUUGUCUCAGUAGCAGUGUAGUUUUAUCUGCAAUUAUAUGCUUGUGAGCUGUAGUAACCAUCGUGCCCCGCAAAUUUUCACUAUGCAAUGCUAUUUAUCGUUCAUUUUUUGGAGUAACUAUAUUAUUUGUAUGACGCCCUGAAUGAAGUUGGUUACUCCGAUGUGAUCCCCGCAUGCUAGGCUUGUGUGAAGUACUACCUUUCAUCCAUUUUACAGAUAACUCCAUUCUUAUUUGUCUUUUGACUUCAAUCAUGACCACUGGUGGCACUGAUGGUGUCUCAACGCUCCUGAAAGUCAAUAAAGAGAUCAAAUUCAGAUCCACAUUCAGUCAGUCAUUCAUUGGCAGGUAGAAGUCCUGUGAAGCACGUACAUUGUUUUUCACCUUCUACGUACAAGAGCUUGAUGGAGCUAUCCAUGUGCCUAUUAGCUUCUCUAAAUGGUCUCGUGACUAAAAAGACUCUGCCGCGCCAACACCUGAUUAAUUGCAUCGGUUUCUGCUCAAGUGCCUAAUGCAAUCUUCUGUCUUUGAUAAAACACUGCCAGGUUCCACGCGCACUAAAUCUAAUGAACUUUUUAGUUCUAUUUCAGGAUAUGGAACAUAAGGAAACCCCCCUUUAAGGGAGCAGGUGAGGAUUCCCAAGGAAGAGCAGCUUGCUUCAAACAAGAUUGACACAAUUAGUUUGGGUGCAUUUGUGCUUGUGUUCAAGCCAUGGGAGGAACUCGUUGUUCACAACAAGGACUUUGAUGUUUCUGCUCUGAAGAAGUUCAUUGAAGCUGGCAGCAGCCUGAACUCUGGCAACCGUUGCCUCUUGAAAUUCUUGUAGAGCAAUGCUUCACACGGUAGCCACUGAUAUGCAACUUGCUUUCUAUGGAGCUUGAUUAUUGCGUACUUCUAUCUGCCAGUGAUUCUUAGCAAUGAUGGGCCAGAAAACGAUACUACUUUAUAGUGAUCUUAUAUUUCUUUA